rnacentral:ncRNA from 1 species
UCCUUAUAUAACGAUAUUAUACGCAAGACAGUAUAGUCGCUCCCUGUAAGGAAUAAAAUGCGAGAGGUGGUGUUGUAUUAGUGAGAUAACAUCAAGGUUGAAAUACCAAUGCCUCUCAGGAUAACCGUAAGUCCUUAAGAAUUAUUAUUCUUUAAAAUUAAUCUUUUAGAAUUAUGAAAGUCAAAUUUGGUACUUUUAUAUAUUUUAAAAGUUACGGUACU